CUUGUUUAGAGGAAGUAAAAGUCGUAACAAGGUUUCCGUAGGUGAACCUGCGGAAGGAUCAUUACCAAAUCCAAAUCCCAAACCCCAUGUGAACUAUUGUAUAGUCUGUCUUUGGGAGAGAAGAACAAAAAUAUAUAUUGUGUGAAAUUAAAACCUUCAUUCAAUUGUUUUUCUGAAUUUCUCUCCCAAUAGAGUCCGGCGCGACUUUAUUGUUGUGUCCAGAUUCGAAACCCCCUUUUAAACCACUUGAUUUUUCUGUUGGAAUUUUCUUUUAUUAAUUUUAAAUAAAAGACAACUUUUAACGGUGGAUCUCUUGGCUCGU
rnacentral:misc_RNA from 1 species